rnacentral:rRNA from 1 species
AGGGAAUCUUGCGCAAUGGGCGAAAGCCUGACGCAGCCAUGCCGCGUGAAUGAUGAAGGUCUUAGGAUUGUAAAAUUCUUUCACCGGGGACGAUAAUGACGGUACCCGGAGAAGAAGCCCCGGCUAACUUCGUGCCAGCAGCCGCGGUAAUACGAAGGGGGCUAGCGUUGCUCGGAAUUACUGGGCGUAAAGGGAGCGUAGGCGGAUAGUUUAGUCAGAGGUGAAAGCCCAGGGCUCAACCUUGGAAUUGCCUUUGAUACUGGCUAUCUUGAGUAUGGAAGAGGUAUGUGGAACUCCGAGUGUAGAGGUGAAAUUCGUAGAUAUUCGGAAGAACACCAGUGGCGAAGGCGACAUACUGGUCCAUUACUGACGCUGAGGCUCGAAAGCGUGGGGAGCAAAC